GGAAAAGUACUAGAAAACAUAAACAAUAUUUAGAAGAAGACUAUUCAAAAGAACAAGGAUAUAAAACCAUAAUACAACAUAAAAAAGGAAUACGCAAGAAACAAUACGUAUAUGUAUGUACAAAAAAAAUGAAGAACGAAAAAAAAAAAAGACAAAUAUGACUAGUAGAAGAUGGAGGACAGAGGAGAGAGGGAACGAGUAUUCGG